rnacentral:rRNA from 1 species
CAGCCGCCGCGGUAAUACGAAGGGUGCAAGCGUUAAUCGGAAUUACUGGGCGUAAAGCGUGCGUAGGCGGUUUGUUAAGUCUGUUGUGAAAUCCCGGGGCUCAACCCCGGAACUGCAUCCGAUACUGCCAUGCUAGAGGAUUGGAGAGGUAGCUGGAAUUCUUGGUGUAGCAGUGAAAUGCGUGGAGACCAAGAGGAACACUCGUGGCGAAAGCGAGCUACUGGACAAUAACUGACGCUGAGGCUCGAAGGCCAGGGUAGCGAAAGGGAUUAGAUACCCCGGUAGUCCCUGUCUCUUAUAC